GGUGCUGUGGCUUAGUUGGUUAAAGUGCCUGUCUAGUAUGCAGGAGAUUCUGGGUUCAAAUCCCAGUGGUUUCU